rnacentral:rRNA from 1 species
GGCAUGCCUUACACAUGCAAGUCGAACGGUAACAGGUCUUCGGAUGCUGACGAGUGGCGAACGGGUGAGUAAUACAUCGGAACGUGCCCAGUAAUGGGGGAUAGCUCGGCGAAAGCCGGAUUAAUACCGCAUACGCCCUGAGGGGGAAAGUGGGGGAUCGCAAGACCUCACGUUAUUGGAGCGGCCGAUGGCUGAUUAGCUAGUUGGUAGGGUAAAGGCCUACCAAGGCGACGAUCAGUAGCUGGUCUGAGAGGACGAUCAGCCACACUGGGACUGAGACACGGCCCAGACUCCUACGGGAGGCAGCAGUGGGGAAUUUUGGACAAUGGGGGAAACCCUGAUCCAGCAAUGCCGCGUGUGCGAAGAAGGCCUUCGGGUUGUAAAGCACUUUUGUCAGGGAAGAAAUCCUUUGGGCUAAUACCCUAGGGGGAUGACGGUACCUGAAGAAUAAGCACCGGCUAACUACGUGCCAGCAGCCGCGGUAAUACGUAGGGUGCAAGCGUUAAUCGGAAUUACUGGGCGUAAAGCGUGCGCAGGCGGUUGUGUAAGACAGGUGUGAAAUCCCCGGGCUUAACCUGGGAAUUGCAUUUGUGACUGCACGACUAGAGUGUGUCAGAGGGGGGUGGAAUUCCACGUGUAGCAGUGAAAUGCGUAGAUAUGUGGAGGAACACCAAUGGCGAAGGCAGCCCCCUGGGAUAACACUGACGCUCAUGCACGAAAGCGUGGGGAGCAAAC